CUGGCAUUCAUGUCAUCAAUCAGCUGUGUGACCUGGGCCAGGUCACUUACCUUCCCCAGGCCUUAGUUACCCCUCCAUAAAAUGAGAAGCCUGGAGUAAAUGAUCUUUAAGGCCUCUUCCAACCCAGGUAUACGACUGUAGCCUAAUGCCAGGUAUAGACGUGGUAGGUGUUCAGGAAAUGUUUAUUUAGUAAUUUAACGAUAAGAUUCAAGGCAAGAUUCUGCAGGUCCCAGCACCCAUAUACUUCCUCACUAUGAGUUUUGCCUCUGCUGUUAGUUAAUUUGUGUCAAGUGCCAGCUCAACAGGUAUUAAACCAAGUUUCACAGGGAUGUUACACAUGCGAGAGCUUUGUGUCACAGCUGCGGAGCGCUGAGCUUGGGAAACCCACCGCUGUCCCCUCCUACCGCCGCUACUUUUAUCGUCCCCUGCUCACAGAGAUAGUUUGUGCGGCACAACUUCGUCAUCAGCCCUGCACCCAGAUUCGGCCGCCAGCUGCCCGUCCUCACUCCAGCCCUUCUCAAGACUGGUACCCUGAGAACAUUGAGAAUGUCCCUCCAGGAGCUGCUGAGGGAUGCUGAGAGGAAAGCCCCAGAAUUGGCACCAGAAGACCUAGUUUUGAGUCUUCACAUUGAUACUCGCUAGUUCUGUUUCUCUGAGCAAGUUACAUAACUUUUCUGGAUCCCUGUAAUAACAGCUGAGAAUAAAAUACGGGAAAGUAUAUAUAAGCACUUUGAAUAUGGACCUGGAGCCAGCCACGCCUGGGCUGCUCCGUCAGCUCCUUGAACAUGUUCACCUCCCUUAACCCUCUGAAUCCUGGGUUCCCCACCAGCAAA